rnacentral:rRNA from 1 species
GACGAACGCUGGCGGCGUGCUUAACACAUGCAAGUCGAACGGUGAAGGCGGGAGCUUGCGGCCUGCGCGACUGGCGAACACGGGAGAAACACGUGAGUGCACUCCGCUUGGAAUUGGGAGAUAAUCGUGGGAAUCGACGUAUUAUACCGUAUAAGACGCGGCUGCGCGUUGGGGCUGGGAAGAAUGAGGUGGUUGGGGAUGUGCUCGCGGCGUAUCAGCUUGUUGGUGUGGUAGCGGCUCACCAAGGCUUUGACGGGUAGCCGGCCUGAGAGGGUGACCGGCCACACUGGGACUGAGACACGGCCCAGACUCCUACGGGAGGCAGCAGUGGGGAAUAUUGCACAAUGGGCGGAAGCCUGAUGCAGCAACGCCGCGUGCGGGACGACGGCCUUCGGGUUGUAAACCGCUUUUGGCUGUGAAGAAGCGUGAGUGACGGUACCUGCAGAAGAAGCACCGGCUAACUACGUG